AGUGAACGCUGGCGGUAGGCCUAACACAUGCAAGUCGAACGGCAGCACAGUAAGAGCUUGCUCUUACGGGUGGCGAGUGGCGGACGGGUGAGAAAUACAUCGGAAUCUACUUUUUCGUGGGGGAUAACGUAGGGAAACUUACGCUAAUACCGCAUACGACCUACGGGUGAAAGCAGGGGAUCUUCGGACCUUGCGCGAUUGAAUGAGCCGAUGUCGGAUUAGCUAGUUGGCGGGGUAAAGGCCCACCAAGGCGACGAUCCGUAGCUGGUCUGAGAGGAUGAUCAGCCACACUGGAACUGAGACACGGUCCAGACUCCGACGGGAGGCAGCAGUGGGGAAUAUUGGACAAUGGGCGCAAGCCUGAGCCAGCCAUACCGCGUGGGUGAAGAAGGCCUUCGGGUUGUAAAGCCCUUUGUUGGGAAAGAAAAGCAGCAGGUUAAUACCCCGCUGUUCUGACGGUACCCAAAGAAUAAGCACCGGCUAACUUCGUG
rnacentral:rRNA from 1 species